GAGGAUCUUGAGGAGAUGGAGGGUGUCUCCGGUAUGGACGUGGAGAGCGGAGCACCACAGCUACCAUCUUGGGGAGCUCACUUCCCGAUGCUCAGUGUAUCUUCAGUCAAUGAUUUGGAUGACUUUUAGAUGUUUCGGAUAGUUUUUGUGUAUACUCCUUGGUGUAGCCUAAUUUUUGGACCAUGGAUGUAAUAGGCUAACUUAGAGUCGAGUAUUCUUUUGCGUAGAAGAUGCUACGAUUGUGACACUUGAUUAUGGGGCAUGUUUCCAAAAACUUGACAUUUGAUGUAAUCCGACAUGGGAAUGACCGAUUUCUGCGGUAGAAGC
rnacentral:lncRNA from 1 species